GACGAACGCUGGCGGCGUGCCUAAUACAUGCAAGUUGAGCGCUGAAGGUUGGUACUUGUACCAACUGGAUGAGCAGCGAACGGGUGAGUAACGCGUGGGGAAUCUGCCUUUGAGCGGGGGACAACAUUUGGAAACGAAUGCUAAUACCGCAUAAAAACUUUAAACACAAGUUUUAAGUUUGAAAGAUGCAAUUGCAUCACUCAAAGAUGAUCCCGCGUUGUAUUAGCUAGUUGGUGAGGUAAAGGCUCACCAAGGCGAUGAUACAUAGCCGACCUGAGAGGGGGAUCGGCCACAUUGGGACUGAGACACGGCCCAAACUCCUACGGGAGGCAGCAGUAGGGAAUCUUCGGCAAUGGACGAAAGUCUGACCGAGCAACGCCGCGUGAGUGAAGAAGGGUUUCGGAUCGUAAAACUCUGUUGGUAGAGAAGAACGUUGGUGAGAGUGGAAAGCUCAUCAAGUGACGGUAACUACACAGAAAGGGACGGCUAACUACGUG
rnacentral:rRNA from 1 species